ensembl:lncRNA
CUGCCAUUGAACCAGACUGAUGCCUCAGCUUCCCAAGAAUGAGAUCCUGCAUCCCAGUCGUUUACUGUUUUGGUCCUAGGAAAUUCCUCUUCUUAACCUCGAUGUGACUCAGGCACUCUUUAAGUACUGGAAGACCACAAUGAGGUCUCUUCCACCUUGGGAAGUUCUGCGUCUCUAGGAUUGUACACAGGUGCAAACAAGCUGCACAAGCCCUGGGACAGAGACAUCAAGUGAAAAUGGCAGGGCAGAGCUGUUGGUGGGAUGCCAGGGAAGAGGGAUUGUCCCAGCAGUGCUGCCCAAGGAUCUGAUUUAGGAGAUGCUUGCGACAAUCUGGAUUUCCUACCCCUCUCAUACAGCUCAAGCACUGGCGCUGGGGUCCGGGAGAGUCAGCGGUGCCAAACACAUCUGUCCAGCACGACCCUUUUGGUGGCUGUACAAGGUGGAAGAUUUCUCAGCGUGGAUAGCUUCAUUGAAUGACAGAAUCCAAAAUGCAGACUGCACGACUCCUUUUAAUGCUGCUGUAGCAGGGCUGUCAACUGAGCAGCUAAUCUGAAGGGGAAGCAGAAUGCUAAAGAGCUUAAGUGAGGAAACGGAGACUUCAGAAACCCUAUUGUAGUGACC